AAGGCUAUGCUUUCAGGGAUCAUUUCUCUAGUUGGUGACUGGAGAAGGGUGGUUGCACAAGCCUGGCCUUGCUAACCACGAUGAGGAGCUGUGGUGUUUCUUUCUGAGCAUGACAAUGGCUGAGAGCGCUGUUGUGUGGCAGCUGCUUUCUGCUGUGGAAGAGUGUCUUGCUCUUCCUGAGGAGAGCAGGGGAAGGAAACACAGUCUGAGUGGU
ensembl:snoRNA U3 Small nucleolar RNA U3